GGGGAUGAUCGGUUUCGACGAUGUGAGUCGCGACAGGAGAAGCGGGCCAAGGAUGCAGAGUCAUCUUGUGAACGCUCUCUGCAAACCAAUAAGUGCCGAAUCCAAGCGCACUGACUUCGCUCUCGCUGCCUGAUUGCAGCCAGACGGUCCGUUAGCCCUCCGCUGCUAUCGCGGGGGAUGCUAGCGUCAGCUAGAUAGCCACUGCUGAGUACCUGCGUCGCAGGGGUGCUCGGGACUUUUUCUGCGACUGAGCCCGGAAGUACGAGCCACUUGUCCAAGUGAUGGCUCUUGGGGCUGAGAAACUUCCUUUUGGACUGCGCCCGGAGAAGACCUGGCAACACCACAUCGGACGGGGGUUCAAUUCCCCCCAUCUCCACUU
rnacentral:tmRNA from 1 species